AGUCAGUUCAAAACCCUCGCUAAACCCUCCCAAAGGCAGGAGCUCCUCCGCCUUCCCCACCAUAAACCUCCUCCGCCUCGCCUUCCCGCCGCCGGCGACCCUCUCUCGUCGGAUUCAUUCAAGCCCGUCUCCGGCGAAGUGUUCGGACCGUGCUCGGAAGCAGGCGAGAGCAGACUGGUCGAUUUCGAUCUCCACUCUAUUCGACGGCGUGAGCUCGCCGAGCAUCAGAGACCUCUUGACGGCGUUCGGCCCCUUGUCGGAACUCUUCGCCAUCAGCUCCCGCGAUGGCCGGAUUCAGAUUUGGGACACUUUGAAAGGGCAGAUUCAGACGGAGUUUGUGGACAUUGCGGCAAAUGAUCCGACGGACGCGUUUAUGAAGCCGGACAGGGGUCACCUUUCGGUUGAUGACACCUGCAUGAAGCGGUUGGAUUUGUGGAAAAAAGAAGUAAAGAAAGCAUGGGGGCUCGAUGAUAGUUUUAGGAACAGGUGGGGGCGAUGUCCUAGCACUCGAUGUAGCAUCUGCUGAAUUGAGAUGGAGAAUUCAGCAGAUGGUUAGUGACUGUCACCCCUGGUGAUGUCAUUGGAUCGAGCAAAUGCUGAAGACGCCCUACUUCCAGUUCCAACUUUUACUGAUUUGGGAGAAAGAAAGAAACCACAUCAAUAUUCUGGCAUUGACCCUGAUGAGGUAAUUGCUAAUAUAGUCGACAGCAGGAGUCAAGCAAAAUCUUUGGACAGCGAACAAAUGCGUGGUCAUCUAAUGCAAAGCUAGUACUUACAUGGAUCGGCAGGAUAUUGGUCAUUCACAGUGAAUAUGUCCUUUCUCAGGAACCAAUGACCGAGCUGCUUUAUUCUUUGGGCAAGGUCAUCUAAUGCAAAGCUAGUACUUACAUGGAUCAGCAGGAUAUUGGUCAUUCACAGUGAAUAUGUCCUUUCUCAGGAACCAAUGACCGAGCUGCUUUAUUCUUUGGGCAAGGUAACAAGUUCAUGGAAGUAAAAUUAGCCAAUUUUUUUUGUCAGUUUGUUCUCUUGAUGAGUGAUUUUUGGACAGGUCAUCUAAUGCAAAGCUAGUACUUACAUGGAUCAGCAGGAUAUUGGUCAUUCACAGUGAAUAUGUCCUUUCUCAGGAACCAAUGACCGAGCUGCUUUAUUCUUUGGGCAAGACUGCAAAAGCUAGAGGGACGGCCAUUCAAUCGUUACUGGAGUCAGUUGGUCGGCUGCAGCUUGUUGUCGCUCAGAUUGACAAAGCCACACAAGAUCAAACUAGAGAUUCUCUUCACAAGCGUCAAGCUGAUGAAAGUGAUGAUGAGGACGAAGACAUCGGUCACGUCUUUUUGCUUUCGUGCAGAUGUUGGUGGGGCUUUCUUGUCUCCCGGAUCCAAAAUCCCUAUCAAAAGCAAGCGGAGUGAAAAGU